rnacentral:rRNA from 1 species
GGUUAAGCGACUAAGCGUACACGGUGGAUGCCCUGGCAGUCAGAGGCGAUGAAGGACGUGCUAAUCUGCGAUAAGCGUCGGUGAGGUGAUAUGAACCGUUAUAACCGGCGAUUUCCGAAUGGGGAAACCCAGUGUGUUUCGACACACUAUCAUUAACUGAAUCCAUAGGUUAAUGAGGCGAACCGGGGGAACUGAAACAUCUAAGUACCCCGAGGAAAAGAAAUCAACCGAGAUUCCCCCAGUAGCGGCGAGCGAACGGGGAGGAGCCCAGAGCCUGAAUCAGUGUGUGUGUUAGUGGAAGCGUCUGGAAAGGCGCGCGAUACAGGGUGACAGCCCCGUACACAAAAAUGCACAUACUGUGAGCUCGAUGAGUAGGGCGGGACACGUGGUAUCCUGUCUGAAUAUGGGGGGACCAUCCUCCAAGGCUAAAUACUCCUG